AACGAACGCUGGCGGCAUGCCUAACACAUGCAAGUCGAACGAGACCUUCGGGUCUAGUGGCGCACGGGUGCGUAACGCGUGGGAACCUGCCCUUAGGUUCGGAAUAACUCCCCGAAAGGGGUGCUAAUACCGGAUAAUGUCUUCGGACCAAAGAUUUAUCGCCUUUGGAUGGGCCCGCGUUGGAUUAGCUAGUUGGUAGGGUAAAAGCCUACCAAGGCGACGAUCCAUAGCUGGUCUGAGAGGAUGAUCAGCCACACUGGGACUGGGACACGGCCCAGACCCCGACGGGAGGCAGCAGGGGGGAAUAUUGGACAAUGGGCGAAAGCCUGAUCCAGCAAUGCCGGGUGAGUGAGGAAGGCCUUAGGGUUGUAAAGCUCUUUUACCCGGGAUGAUAAUGACAGGACCGGGAAAAAAAGCCCCGGCUAACUCCGU
rnacentral:rRNA from 1 species